rnacentral:tRNA from 1 species
GGAAUGUAGCUCAGUGGUAGAGUGUUUGCCUACUAUGCAUGAUGCCCUGGAUUCAUUCAAUUCCCAGCACCA